AUGUGUGCCGCUAUAGCUCAGCCGGUUAGAGCGUGGGUCUAAUAAGCCCAAGGUCGCAGGUUCGAUCCCUGCUAGCGGCAUAUA
rnacentral:tRNA from 1 species